rnacentral:miRNA from 1 species
UGAAGGGCCUUUCUAGAGCAC